CUCCCCGUACCCGCGAAAGAGCGUCCCUGAUGAACCUUACUGUGCUAACCACCCAAGCCACCUAAGACCUUCGGGUUGAGGGUGGGGAGCGUGGGAACCUGGUGGGUAGUAGUCAAGCGAUGGGGUGACGCAGGAAGGUAGCUGAUCCCGGCCGGUGGUUGUGCCGGGGUAAGCGUGUAGGCCGCACCAUAGGCAAAUCCGUGGUGCAUGAAGGCUGAGACGUGAUGCCGAGCCGAUUCAGGUGAAGUCAGUGAUCCUAUGCUGCCGAGAAAAGCCUCUAGCGAGUUCUUGGCGGCCCGUACCCCAAACCGACACAGGUGGUCAGGUAGAGAAUACCAAGGCGACGGGCGAACUGUGGUUAAGGAACUCGGCAAAUUACCCCCGUAACUUCGGGAGAAGGGGGGCCGGACACGUGAAGCAACACGCUUGUGUAGCGUGGUAUGGCCGCAGAGACCAGGGGGAAGCGACUGUUUACUAAAAACACAGGUCCAUGCGAAGAAGUAAUUCGAUGUAUAUGGACUGACGCCUGCCCGGUGCUGUAACGUUAAGGGGACCUGUUAGCUCUUCGGGGCGAAGCGGAGAACUUAAGCGCCAGUAAACGGCGGUGGUAACUAUAACCAUCCUAAGGUAGCGAAAUUCCUUGUCGGGUAAGUUCCGACCUGCACGAAUGGCGUAACGACUUCCCUACUGUCUCAACCACAGGCCCGGCGAAAUUGCAGUACGAGUAAAGAUGCUCGUUACGCGCGGCAGGACGGAAAGACCCCGGGACCUUUACUAUAGCUUGACAUUGGUAUCUGAGUUAAUUUGUGUAGGAUAGGUGGGAGCCUGUGAAGCUCGUACGCCAGUACGGGUGGAGGCAAUCUUGAAAUACCACUCUGGUUGAUUCGGGUAUCUAACUUCGGACCGUGAUCCGGUUCAGGGACAGUGUCUGGUGGGUAGUUUAACUGGGGCGGUUGCCUCCUAAAGAGUAACGGAGGCGCCCAAAGGUUCCCUCAGCCUGGUUGGCAAUCAGGUGUUGAGUGUAAGUGCACAAGGGAGCUUGACUGUGAGACUGACAGGUCGAGCAGGGACGAAAGUCGGGACUAGUGAUCCGGCACCGGCAUGUGGAAGCGGUGUCGCUCAACGGAUAAAAGGUACCCCGGGGAUAACAGGCUGAUCUUCCCCAAGAGUCCAUAUCGACGGGAUGGUUUGGCACCUCGAUGUCGGCUCGUCGCAUCCUGGGGCUGUAGCAGGUCCCAAGGGUUGGGCUUUUCGCCCAUUAAAGCGGUACGCGAGCUGGGUUUAGAACGUCGUGAGACAGUUCGGUCCCUAUCCCCGUGCGCGUAGGAUACUUGAGAAGGGCUGUCCCUAGUACGAGAGGACCGGGACGGACGAACCUCUGGUGUGCCAGUUGUCCCGCCAGGGGCACGGCUGGUUAGCUGCGUUCGGAAGGGAUAACCGCUGAAAGCAUCUAAGCGGGAAGCUCGCUUCAAGAUGAGGUAUCCCACCCACACUUGUGUGGGGUAAGGCCCCCAGCUAGACCACUGGGUUGAUAGG
rnacentral:rRNA from 1 species